AGAGUUUGAUCCUGGCUCAGGACGAACGCUGGCGGCGUGCUUAACACAUGCAAGUCGAACGGAAAGGCCCUGCUUUUGUGGGGUGCUCGAGUGGCGAACGGGUGAGUAACACGUGAGUAACCUGCCCUUGACUUUGGGAUAACUUCAGGAAACUGGGGCUAAUACCGGAUAGGAGCUCCUGCUGCAUGGUGGGGGUUGGAAAGUUUCGGCGGUUGGGGAUGGACUCGCGGCUUAUCAGCUUGUUGGUGGGGUAGUGGCUUACCAAGGCUUUGACGGGUAGCCGGCCUGAGAGGGUGACCGGCCACAUUGGGACUGAGAUACGGCCCAGACUCCUACGGGAGGCAGCAGUGGGGAAUAUUGCACAAUGGGCGGAAGCCUGAUGCAGCAACGCCGCGUGCGGGAUGACGGCCUUCGGGUUGUAAACCGCUUUCGCCUGUGACGAAGCGUGAGUGACGGUAAUGGAUAAAGAAGCACCGGCUAACUACGUG
rnacentral:rRNA from 1 species